AAGACUGUAGACCCCGUGGUCUCGCUUCCUGGUGGGUUUUGUAUAUUAAAGUUGGCUGUAGCCUGUUCUGAAGAGCGUUGGCUUGGCUUAGUCAUCCGGGCCAGCAUUCAUCUCGCAUCCUUGCGGAUGUCUGUACCUGAUCUGGUUUCUUUAUCGUGGAGAAAAACAAGGAGAUGAAAGGUAAUGACUCAGCUGACCCAUUUUAGGUGCACGCGUGAGGACUCCGUGGCUUGUCUUGUAGAAAGGCUCGUUUCUCUCCGGGACUUCAGAGGUGGGCGAGAUGAAUUGGGAUCGUGAGAGCCAGCCUGCAGCCUUCAGCUCACGGGAUGCAGGAGCUGAUACACAGAAUGGUCUGAAUUGUACACGUGCAGGGUCUUUGCAGUGCCAGGUAUUUGGCAGUCUUGAAACAAUAAUUGCAGUGCGUGGAGCCCGCUAUGAGUCUCAGGGCUUAAGGGUAAGAGAUUCCUGUUUAUUGAGAAUCUUUGCUCGGGCACUUCGAGUAUCACACCUGUGAGGACAGGUGGCACCUUAUAAAUAUCUAAAUAGUGGCUGCUGCUGCACCUUACCUGAUAAAUCUUUUACAAAAACAAGAGAGGGACGCACUGCAGCUGUGCCUGUGCGCUAGAUAAGGGCCUCCGAAGGCAUUUAUCAUGUUGUAUUACAAGGGAGGAGAGGAGAGAAAAUGGGGGAAAGCAUAAGCCAAGACCUAUGUAACCGUGAGAGAUUCUGUCUUAGUGAGUUUGGGUCAGAUUUGGGCUGAUUUCUUCCCAGCCAAACUGAAGAACUGACACCUUGAAAGACCAGCGUGCCUUCUGGUGCCUGGCUACUCCCUUGCCUAUCGGCAGCGUUGCUUUUAACGAGCUAAUUCUCCCUUAAUUAAUAUUUAUUUCUUUGUUUUAGGACUUUCUCUGUAGUCUCCGCAUGACUUUCUGCACCGGGCAUUGUUAGUGAUCAAUAUUAAAUAUAAAUCUCCAGCUGCACUCGGAAAGAGAGCAGAAGCAUAAAGGCAGCGCCGCGUUGUUUGAAUCCGGUCAUGUUUAGAGGACAAAUGGAAGGAUAAUGCGUUACAAAUUAGGGAAAGGAGAAAUAAAAGAGGGAGAUGGUAUUUAAGUACGCAAACUGCAUGUGCUUUAUGUGACAGGACGCCGCCAAGCUUAAUAGCAAUGUGAGCUUUAUGCUUCAUGCAAGGGGAUUCAUUGAUUUAAUAUUUCGCUUUAUUAUUAUUGUGAUGAAUAAAUCCUUCUGCUCACAUUUAAAAACCCUUCUGGUCCAGGGACAAUGAGGAGAGAAAAUUGCUCGGAUAAUUGCGAAAUAAUCUCUCACAUUAGGCCCGUUGAAUGCUUGAAUUCUGUGAAAGUCUUCGCAUUGUGUCUGCUUCGAAACCGUGCACUCCUCCAGAGCUGGAGAUUUGGGGCUGCUUCUCUUUGGAGUCGCUAAUGGGUGUUAUUUGUGCAAGGAAAAUAUGUUUCUGUUGAUGGACGUCAAUGCCUUUUUUCCUCUGCUCUCUUUUGUAUGUCUAUUGUGUUGGGGUCCCACUUGUUUUUUGGGGACUUUGACAUGCACAAGCCUUAUACACGCACAGCUUUUCUAUGUGCCAUGCUUUAGAAGAGCCUCAGGCUCUCAGGAUCCCCUACACGAGCCCUAACCCUUUGCAGCCUCCAGGCAUCCAUCCCGACAAUGUGCUUGUCCACCUCCAGACCUGCUGGUUACAUCGUGCUGGGGUCCUGUAAGUAUUCCUCAAUACUCUGCCCCCUGUUUUGGCACGACAACGGUACGAAAACUUCCCUGGGCUUCCUCAAACGGUGACACGUCCUAAAAGCCACCGCUGCAGGGACCUGGGGAGCAGAGCAGAGACGCGGGGUGCUGCAGGCAGUGGGGAGAAACACAGCCCCUUCAGCUGCUGCUGGAAGCAGCUCCAAAGCUGUGGGAUUCAUCUCCUUGCAGGGAAGAAGUAUCUUUUGAUGGGGAAUAUCCAAUUCUCUCAGAUCUUCAAGCGCUGCUGUAUCCUUGUGUAGCAGAUGAGCUCCGUAACGUCCCCGCAGCCGGCCGGCGUGCAGGCUGCUCGAUGUGGCCCAAAGUCCCACCGAGGCGCUGCUGGAGCUGGUAAAAAAACUAAUUUUGUGCUUCAGUAGAUAAACCAGCCAGGUUCCUGAGCUGCACAGGAGUCUGUGAUAACAUAUUCUGGUCCUGUGCUGAGCUAGGUGCAGAUACAAUGCGCUGUAAGGCUGUGUGUAGUCACUCAAGGUUUCCCUCAGAGCAGAUGUAGAUGGAUUGCCCUCGAGUUUGAAGUGCCUUUGUGCCGUGCAGACUGUUCCCAUCUCACAUUCAGGAGAUAAAAAACAAGGAUCCAAACGAGUAUUCUUGUUUGUGCAAGCCUGAAAGCUUCCUUCCCCCGAGUGUUUGCAUCUGUAGCACUUCACCGGGUGAACCUGGCACGCCGAAGAGCCUGGAGAGCAUCACCGUGGCCGUGCCAUCAGCGACAUCUCGGCCGUCCCUUACCUCCUGAGCUGGCUUUUGAACCUCGGCAAUCGGGUGUCCCUCGAGGUGGCUGUGACAUCUGCCAAAGCUGAAAUAUCCUCAAGGAGUUAAAGCCUGCCCGGGCCACCCAGUGCCUGCUUUUGGUGCCAGCAGGUGGGCUCCGUGAGGGCAGGGUGGGAGCUCUCCUGCGUGCGCCUCGCUAGGGAGUGCUCCUGCCGUUUCUGUGCUUCUGGGGGGUAAAAAGGAGAAGGGAUUGGGGUUAAAUCUCUGCUCUGAGCAGGCGGAAAGACUGCACCAGGCUUUGAGUGAUAAGGGGUAGCUGGCUGCAGCUCCCACAUCAACCUUGGAAGGAUUUCCAGCAGCGGAAUGAAGACUGAGUCAGUAAGGAGACCUGGCUUGGUCCUGGGACAGAGACUUCCAGCUUCCCCGCUCUGCUUCUCCACGCUCAGGAUUUCUAAAUAACAUCCAGGUGACGACAGGAGAACCUCGCUCUUCGCUUUGCAGUUCCCUGGCAGCUUUUUCACCCAUGCGAAUAAAAGCAAAGGGAAACAAACGAGGCAAAACACCGAGGAAACCACGCGGGCAGCCCACGCAAAUGGUAAUGAGAUGCACCCAAGAACGAUUCAGAUCCCGCUGCUCUUUUCUCUGCGCUCAGGAGCCGGUGUGCUGCUGGUUUCUGCUGGCUUCAGGGCUCUUCCCUGUGCUCCUCAUCCCAAUUUUGGCGUAGCAGUGUGCCCAGCCCGAUGCUGAAUGACCGAGGUGUGUGGUUUCAGCAGCUCCAAAGCUGGCUGAAUGCCUUCAUGUGGCUCUGAGCAGGGCACGGAUUGGGGAAAGGGAACCAGGAGUCAUUUCUCUUCUUUCUACUCUGGUUUUAAUCCUGAAAACAAAGUGUUUGGACAGCCAGACCCACUUAAGAUGUAUUUCAGAAGGCUGCCGGCGCUGCGUAGAGAAAGCACAAAGCCCUGACCUGCGAGCUGAUUAAACUCCGGAGCAGCUUGCACUCAAAACAGCCGCAGAUCCUCUAAUGCAGCAAUUAAAUUAUCCAUUUCCCUUGCAGAAACUUACUUAAAGCCCCCCAGGACUGCAGCCUGAGCCAGGAAAGCCUACAUGUGUGUGCUUCCCAAAGGCCAUGGGUCCAAGCAACCCCUGAAAAGGGUUCGUGGAAGACAGAAAGCUCUGUGGGGACAAACACUUGUUGGUAGGAGUGUUUUUUGGAUCAGGAUCAUCCGGUUGUGUUGUUUUGAGCCCGUGUAGCAGCUCUCCGCCUGCCCCAGGAAUGCCUGCCUGGUUUUUGGAUCAGUUUGGGGACCCCCAGGGUUUUUCAGAGGGUGCUGGCAUCGUGCCUGGAGCACAGCCUCCAAUAUUAUAGGAUGCACAGCCCCGUGGAUGCAUAGGCUACAUCAUACCCAUCCCAAAACGGUAUUUUCAUAACCUGUGCUCGUGUCCUCAGAAUUAAUAACCCAAACUUCUGAUUUUCUUUCUCUUCCGUGGCGCACGGCUCCUUCGGCGACGAGCCGCGGCUGGAAAAGCCCUGCAGGGCUUUGCUUUCUCCUCUUCCUCCGGGGUUGUGUGUGCUUGGAGGCAUUUACGAGCAAUUUGCCUGGGUUCACUGCCAACGCCAGCUCCCGUGGCUUUCGGCAGUGACUAAUCCUUUCCCUCCGCUUUGUUACGGGGUAAGUCGCUAGCUUUGAUCUCCGCAGCCGGUUCCAGUGGCGUCGUGUCCUUUUCUGCUGGCUUGGUGGCCGGCUGAGGAAGCUCAUUCAGUUGAGCUGCUUGCCUGAAAAGGAAUCAUCUUUGGAAAAUUUCAAAUCCAGCAGCACCGCCGCUGAAGUCUGCAGACCUGCCCCUUGAAAUGGCACUGGGUAAGCGGGAGAAGCCUUGGGGGAGAUGCUGUCAGGACUUUCCCUUCUGUUUGAGCAGCGUCUGUACAGCUGUCCUGUGCUGAGCCUGCUGCUGAAAGACUUGAUGCCUUCGAUUUGCUGCCAGAAAUCCUCGAAUUUGCCCUGGGAUGUCCACGGCAGGAGCACGGGGAGCUCCCAGGUGCUGUUUUUAGCUCGGAGGAUGAGGAGCAGAGCCCUGUACGGGGCGGCUUUGGCGUGCCACGUCCGCAGCAUCGGCGUCUGCGCUUGUCCUGCGACUUCGUGCUUGUUUUUUUGGGAAGAGUGGAGGCAACUUUGCAAACUCAGCUGGGGCACCAGCAGCUCGUGGACACCAGUAACUUGAUUAUACUGGGGUGGUGUGCGUGGUCCUGCGCCAGGACCAGGGGGAGCUCUCAUCAGAGGGGAAUAAAACCCCGUGGGUUUGACAGGAUCCAGCCAGCACAGCACCUUCAGCAGCAGCAUAGCAAAGGUACACGAAUUACAAAAUCUCUCCAUGAGAGCAGUUUUCAGAGGCAGGACAACACCGCCAAAUAUUCCCGUGCUGCUGCCGGGUUCGUAGCACCACCUGCUGCCUGCGGAGCCCCGCGAGCUGCCUUGCUUCUCCCACCCCUCGGAGCUUGCUGCCUCUCUGCGUAGUUUUUGCAGCAGACUUGCUGCUCGGUUUACCUGUGCUGCUAAAACCCAGAUGCUUGCAGUAUUAACUCCCACCCCCUUGCAGUCUGCUGCUGCUGUUUAAGCAGCAAAUUAUUCCAUGCUGGGGAAGAAGUUGGGGGCAGAAUUGAGUGUGUAGACAUUUUCUCUCCUUUUUUUUGCCUUCCGUUUUCACCUUCUCUGCCUUUUCUGGGGCUGUAACGCUUGGAUACAAGGGCAGAGAAAGAGAUGAGGGGCAAGGGAGAGGUUUUCAUCACUCUGCGUGUUCCCUCGUGUCUGAUGAAGCUCAGAGAUACCUCCCCAAACUCAUUGGGAUCGAUCGGCAGCGACCUUGCAGCUCGCAGGUAGAUGAUAACUUACUCCCAAGCUGGCGGUGGCACAGCAGCCACAAAAUUGUUCAUCUCCUGGAUGCUUUUACCCCUUUUCCCACAAGGAAUCUCUCCCUUCUGUCUGAUGGAUGAUGCUUCCUCACUUCUCUAGAAAUCAAAUCCUGGAUUCCCCUCCUCCAGAGCUGAUAAAUACGGGACAAAGACCAUAAACAGCACACGGGGGCAUGCUGGAAAUGAGCUGGAGAGAAACUGAGGCACAGAGAACAGAAAAUGAUGCCUGCCCACUGAAGCAUGAAGUUGUACGUCUCCCUGUAAGCUCACAGAAAAGCUGUUUUUGCCUAUUCCCAGAUUUAUUAGCAGUGGAAAGAUGGGAAAUCUGGUGAAGCCGUUCUCGGGCCUCCCAGGUAACAUUUUUCAGAUCAAAACAGUUCAGCAAACGUCUUCAGGUGUCUGGACGCUUAUCUGAAUUGCAGUCUGAAUUUUUUUUGAGGUGUAGGAAAAGUAAAUGGGUUUUUGCGCUCGGCGCUGAAUUUUUAAAGCAUCCUGGGCCGGGAGGUGACGUUUGCAGCUUCAGUGUGAACUGCUUGGAGUCCAGGCUGGUGGAAACAGGUGGAAAGAUUUUUUUAAAAGGAAUUGGUUUUAAUUAUGCCUAAUCAAUGUGAACUUUGUAAUUGCUAGCACGUGGCAGUCCUUAAUUCCCAGCCCAUGCUGCGGGAGGUGCUCUUGGUAGUCCUCGCUCAUCCCAACCAUCUAUUUCGGAGCCUCUCGCUGAAAGCAUUUGUUCCCCCUUGAUUUUAUUUAAUGUUUUAAUUGAAUAGCAGGAGAAGCUUAAACAGAUCACCCCGAAUUAAGAGUCUGAGAGCAAGAGGAGCUCUGAAGAACAGGACAUUGCCCUGGCUCUGCCUGGAAGCCCUGGGACGUGGAGCAGGUGAACCUGUGAGCAAAGGGAAGAUCUUCCCAACCUGCCUUUCCCCUUUAUUUGACCACAUUCAGGGCAAUAUCCCGCCUGCUCUCUGAUAUCCAAGCUGAUGGAAAUUGCUUUUCUGCAUAAGCCGUGCUCAUCCUGGAGAAAAAUGAGAGAUAAGACGCUGAUUGCAGAACCGUGGCAUGGAUUUGCUGGGUCUUUUCUUCUAACCUUACAGAAAAGAGCUCUCAUCGCUAGGUAAUGGGGUUGAGGACAGGCUUGCUGGCACAAAGCUGUCGCCAUUUCAGCCAGCCCAGACCCAUCAGAAGUUUCCCAGUGAGAUUUCAACUCUCUAAAUCUCUGAUGUCCUUGGAAAACUUCUGGUCUGGAGUGAACCUGGCAGCUGAAAGUGGGUGUGCAGGUCUGAGUGCUCUUCAUGCUCGCUGCUCCUGGCACCACAACCAUUUCUUCUCUGCCCCCUUCUCCUCAAAAAAUAACCUGCCCACGGAGUUGAUGCCAUUGUGGUUUUGCUUCCACACUGAAUUUCCUUCCAGCUUUUUCACUAAGUGCUCUGCGAGUUGUGAAUUGCCUUUCCCCACCUCCUCCCUCCACGAACAGAGAAAUAAUGUUCGUUUUGAUGCCUCCUGCCCCCAAAUGUGAGCGUCUGCACCAGAGCAUCUAGGAUGGGCCACAGCAGCUGAACACCCUCGAGCAUCAUUAGACGCAACGUGCUCAAGCUGCCGAGCCACGCCGAAUUUAACCAGUUUUAAAAUAAGUGCACCUGCUUUGCCGGGCGUUUCGUUUCACUUUUCGUCAUAGAAAUCCUGCUUGACAGAUGCCUCGUAGAAAGCGAGGGAACCUGCAGAAGAAGUAAUUGUGCAGCACCGCACUGACGGAAGGCUCUGUUAAUUAAAGCAGCCAGGCUAUCAGCCGGAGAGCAGUGUGUGGAAAGAUGAGCUCUGCCUCGGUGAAUGGGAAAAAAGAUGAGAUGUGACAGCCUCUCUCAGAUCCCUCCCCCAGCUCUCAGUCCAUUUGCUGCCAGACUUCUCGGCGCAGUCCCAGGGACCAGCAACGUGUCUUUUCCAAUGAAUUUAGAAGCACCUCCAGUAUGGCUCCUCCAACGAAGACUGAGGUUGGUACUGAGGUUGUACCUGGCCCUGAACAUCUCCCGACACAUCUGUGCUGAGUGCUCCAUCCACGUAGUGCAGCUGGGAAGGCGAGGCAGGAACACUGAAUAUUUUUCCCCAAAUCAGGUCAGGCUUUCCCAGUGAGCUGGCAGAUCCAAACUGCUAACUCCUAGGGGUCAAACUGGGCUUAAAACUGGCGCAGAGGGAUUGUUCAGCUCCCAGGCUCGCUGGCAGGGUGCACAUCAUCUCCUAAGCUGCUAUUAUCUAAGCAGCCUGGGUCUCCCUGCAGAAAACUGGAUACAGGGCACACGUGGCCUCCUUCAAGGUGUUCCUGCAGGAGCUGCGGGCAGCAGGAGAGGCACAAACCCUCAGAGCAGCAGUCAGCACCUGGUAAGAAGCUGAUUUUGCAAUCCAUUUAAACAGCACCACUUUCAAAUUGCAGCAGACACCUGGCAGAGAGCUGGUACAGCAGAUAGAUAUUUAUUUGUUUGUCUUUCUGUCUUACCAAAGACAACUGGUUGCGUUUGUGUGCCCCUAAUUUGCUAAAUAAGGGUGCAGAUGCUCCUGCUGCCGUCCCCGGUCUGUCUCCCCAGCAUGUUCUGUGAUCUCCUAAGCAGAAUAAAUUCACCUGAAUUUCCUGCCUUGAAUACCAAGAGGGGAUUUGCCAGGUGGAAGCAGGUUUGUGACGUCUGCCUGGCUUAGAAGAGCACUGAUAAAGAAACACUUCACUUCCAUGCCUUUGGAUAGUGCCCAUUUAAUUGCAAAAAAAAUAAUAGCCAGGGGAGAAUACCGAUGAGGAAUGUAAAACCCCAGCCGCAAGUGACAGCAUGUUGUCCUGAGGAUGUUCUUCAAAGCCAAAUAAUUGUAAAUAAAUCUAGGUGGACAACCAAAGCACAUCUUUAAUUGCGCAGCCACUAACAGGGACAUGCAGGGAAAAUAAAAAUAAGUGAGGAUCUGGAUCUCUUUAAUGUUAAAAUAAGUACGCCUCUCCCUUAGCUUCCUCCGAACCAAGUGACAGCUGCACCCCUAUGAAAAUGAAUAAAUAAUGGGUUUUAUUUGUAUCGCAAGCUGUUUUCUCAGCUCGGAGAUGAGCAGCCCACGGACACCACUCGCGUGGUUUAAAGAGAGCCCAAGCGUUGGCACAGAUGAUGUCCAUGGACACCGUAUCAGUGUUAAAAAGGGAUUUCUACUAGUACCUUCCUGUGGGGUUUUGUUCUCACGGGGGGAUAAUUUACGUCUGGUUUAAUGUUGGAUUAUUUGAUUAUGCCUGUUUUAAAAAUGCAUCUGUUUUGCCAAUUUACGUGCACUGCAUGCAGCCUUUGGGUAGCUUUGCAGCUAAAUUCCCCUCCAGUGAAACUCUCUCAUUCCUCUGGAGAUGAUUUUUAAAAUAGUCCCUGAGAUCUUUUCAUCCAAAGCUUGAAAACACCUCCGAAUUGGAGGCAGCAAAGCCUGGAGCCUGGGAGUUGGGCUUGGCAGGAGGAGAUGGUUCUGUGUGGGCAGGACGGAGCCCAGGGGCUCUUGGUGUUGUGCUUUCAGGAGGAUUUCAGUGCUGCAGGAGAUGUGUGGUGGUGGCUGUGGAGAUGCUGGUGGCUUCAUCGGCUUCUUCACGGAAGGCUUGGCAGCUCGUCCAGCAGACAGGACACAUCUGUGAGGUCUUGGGACCGGCCUCUGCCCUUUGACAUGUUACAUGGGGGAAGAUGACCGGGAGCUCGAGAGAAAUUGGGAUCAAAGUCAUCGUUAUGAGGGUGAACUUCAGGUGUGUGGUUUCCACACGGAGUCUCUCCUGAUUCCAAAUUCCAAAAUUCCUGCAAUAGCCAGGGAUAUUUGUGGUGCUGCAUCCCUCUUCGUUUCUGGCUGGUCAGUGCAAACCUGUCCUGACAUCUGUGCUCCUGAAAAAGCUGUGAAGAUGGUGCUGCUCCUAGGACAGGCUGGCUGCCUUCCUCCUCUGCAUCCCUGGGCACAGCAGUGGAGAAGCAAGAGCCUGAUCCAACACCUCCACUGCAGUGGGAGCAGGGGAUGGAGCCAGACCAGGUAAAAAAUUAAGAUUUAUCCUGUCCAUGUGUACGUGAAUCCACACAGGCACGCGACCCGCUUGGGAAAAAAGCCCUUUCUGCCCUGUAAAUAACCUGCCAGCUCAGCAUUCGUGUGCUGUUGUGUCUGGUAAUCUGCAGGUCUUGAGGGCUGAGCUGGGCGUGUUGCUUCAUCAGGGGAUUAUCCGGAUUUUGUCUGACCUCUGAGCUGAAAAUGAGUGGCCUGAUUACGGAACAGUUUCAGGUAAGGGCAAAGGGAUUCCCGGUGCCACUUGCUGUUCCUCCUCUGCUGCAAUUCUGAGGUUCUGACCUUGCAAAUCCCUCUGGCUCAGCCAUACGAAGCAGAACGGUGUGUCCUCGGUUGGGAUCUUUGCCCCCAAAUGCUACCAUCGGGAUAUAGUGCAUUUUUUAGAAGGGUUUGUCCAUGGGUUCAAUCCCUGGGAUGGCAGCAAGGCUGAGGCACAGCCCUCGAGCAUCCUCCCUGCGCAUUCAGUGCCUUCCUUCUCUGGAUCUUACUGCGAACUUCAAGAGCUGGUGCCAAGAAGAGGAUUGACAGGGCUGUAAAUCUGUCGGCCCUAGAGGGCUGUGCUGCCAGGACCACUCUGCUUCUCCCUUCAUCCCCGUGUCUUUGGGAACAGUGGAAGUGGAUCCUUUUCCCGAGAACUUGUUCUUUGGCUCCCCGAAUUACGCAGCUCUCCUAAGGGUGCCCUUUUGGUUUUGUCCUGAUGAAGACCUGACAUGAGCAAUGAGCUUCCCGCUUGCUUGCAGAGCUUGCUCUUUGCCCACAAAUCAAUCUGCUUCUCUAAGCGGAGCUGUCAGGAUUUCUCCAAGGGCACAGACAUUCUUCAUGUUUUCGCCACCAAAUUAGAUGUGACGCUUAAUUUAAGGCUUAGGCAUAAAGCCUCACUAGACAUUGCUGGAAGACACCGAUUUUACUAAAUUUUUGUAUUUAUGUAUAAAUAUUCUGCAUAAAUAGGAAAUAUUGGUGUUGGUUGGGGCAUUCUUGCUGGGCAGAGGACAGAUUUAUGCUUUCUUUUAGCUCUGUCUAACGCUUUUAAGAUCUUUUUGGCCAGCAUGGCCAUGAACAACGCCAGGAGCAAAUGGAUGUAUUAAACAGGUUUGGGCUGAGUUUCGGGGUUUCGUGCUCCUUCAGUCAAAAGAAACUUGUGGAAUGAAAUCACCUCGAUUUGCUGACAGGAGCAGAAGUCUCUAAUAUGGUGUGUGUUGUGCUGAGAAGCAUUUUAUGUCUUGUAGUUUUAAGACAAACAUCCUAAGUGCGUAAACUGCUGAGGUGAUUUGGAGCUGGGAGCCAUGGCAGCGACUUUGUACAGCACCACGCUUGGUAAUACCACUGGUGGCAAAGGUGUUUAAGCAAAAUUGACAAGAAAAGGCCAAAAAUAACCAAGGUAAAGACAGCCAGAAGUACAAAAUGUGAGGCAGGAGGGGCUGGGGUUUGUGUGAAGGUCCUAACAGUGCUGCUGUGCUCUGUGGUUGGAGCCUCCCCGUUCCCUCCAGGGGAGGGUGGCUUUUUGGUGAAUUUGUGUGCCUUUCUUUUAGCUGAUGGGAUUUUUUGAGCUCCCCAGUGCUAGAAUCUCGCUGGGUGAAGGUUACUGGUGAGUAACUGGUGAGCCGGAGCUCAGCAUUUCAGCGCGCGCCUCACGCUUGCUGAGGCAACUUUGGUGGGUGCUCACCCAGCUCUUGGCUCACAACCCCUGAAAAAUAUGAUCAAAAGCCAUCAUUAACGUGAGGGAAGGGCAGGAGAAACGGCCCUGGGUGAGAGAUGGAGAGCUUGAUCUGGUUGAAUAAGAACUGAAAGAGGGUUUGGUUAUGGCGCCGCCCGGUCCCGUGUGGAAGAGGCCUGCUGAGGGAGCUGAUGGCGGAUCCCUCAGAGGAGCGAGUGGUUGGCCUUAGGUUGGACGUCCUGAGGGACACUCAGAGGAAGGAUAGAUUCCCCCAUCUCUUAAUGUCUUCAAAAGGGAUUCCUUUCUGUCAGAGACACCUGAGGUGGCCACAGGUCAGGCCUGAGAAGGGGCUCCUGUGAGCGGGGCCUAACAUCGGCAACAUGGCUGAACUCACAGCUCCCAGCCCCACCAGCCAUUUGCUGCUGGUUCUUCAGAAAGCAUUUGGAGAUCAACCAGUGCCAAGAAGUUUGAUCUCCCAGUAACGCUGUCGAGCUGUUGUUUCACAGCAGCUUCAUGGCACCUCAGGCUGAGAAUAUUCCAGAGAAGAGCCGGGCUUCAAGGCCCUGCCCUACCACCAGAGGAGGUCCCACAGGGUGACCAGGCCACCUCCUCUCGUCCAUAAAUCCCAGAUUUUGGCAACAUACCGUGCCUUGUGUACAUAUAGGGGUGUGUAUGGACACCACAGUGGCUGCCUGCUUUCUCCACAUGCAUGGCACGGGGAGGUUGAGCUGCUAUUUCUGGAGGAGUGCUUGGAGAUACCCGUGGCCAAGGACACGGCCCGAUAAGGCGCCGCUCAGCUGUAUUUUAGGUUUGUGAUGAAGUCAGGAAAAAUUGCUAAAUCUCACUUAAUGCCACGGGAGGGAGAGGAUUGGACUUCUUUAUACUUGGCUGGUGUAAUAACCCUUCCUUUUUCACCUAGCCUAAUAAGUUCCUGAGUGCAUUUGUGCCCGUAAUGGCCAUUUCACGCCUGACAAAUCUGGCGUUUUCUGAGGCCCAUUGAAAUGGAAAAACCUUCGAAGAGAUAGGAAUGUUGCAAGUCCCCGAUUCGAAUACUCCUCCCCUUCCCCCUUGUAACCUGUUUUUACAAGAUUAGCCACUUGUAUUAAAGGAGAAAACCUUCCCAAAGGUUCACUUGUCUCUUUCUCAAAGGUUUUAUUUCCCAUCUCAUAACGCGAUGCCCUUGUUUCCCCAGCUCAGGAUGCAGUGUGUGUGUUUGAGACCCAAACCCGGUCCUGCCCGAGGAAAAGGCACUGUGCUGAGCCGUCCCAGGAGGGCAGAGACAGGAGGAAGGUUUGGUCCCUUCUCGAAUCGCUGCCUGCACGUCCCCGUUUGCUUUCCUGGUGCAGUCACCCAGGGGCAAGCGCAGGGAUUUCCAGAUGCCGCUGACUAGAUGGCUGAUGCCAAUUAGCCGCAUCCUAAAAGCGCUGUAAAUUGGGACAGUUCCUUUGAAAACAAGGCAUCAAAGGCAGGAGCUUUAAGUUGCUUCGAACUUUCGCUUGUGCUCACGUGGUGGAUGUGCUUAUUGAGUCUCGGAGGCAUCUGGCUCCUCCGUAGCAUCCUUCUCUUUAGGGAAGAGUUUCGUGCCAAUGCACCGAUCUCUCCACCCUCUGUGCUGCCCUCUUGCAGCUCCGGGGAGUGGAAAUAAUUUGACAUUUUGCAAAUGUACAAGCUGAGUCUUUCCCGAGAAGCUGAAUUGAGGACCUGCAGCAAGUAGGAGGCUGCUCAAUGCAAAGCCGUGGACAUUUCUCAGCGUGCUGAUGGGGCAGAAAGGGUUUUCUGCUGCUCGGCCCCAAUUCUUUCUCUUUUGUCCUCUAUCCAUGUGUCUUCAGCUGGUCCAGCAGGAGCGGUAGGCAGGACCUUGCCUGGAAAGCAUUAAAUGCAUUUCCGAUGGCCUGGGUCCAACUUCUGCUAAUCCUCACGAGUCAGACACCCCCGGACUUCAAUGAGAUCAGCCUCGGGGAGGAAAUGCCACGGUACCAGCAGCGGCACAGCGUGCUGCGUGCUCUUAAGCAGGAGGAUAAAUUAUGCAUCGGCGCUGCUUUUAAUAACUCUGCAGCCUUACCGGAGGGCAAGCCCAGCAACAGGAGGCGAAGCAGGCAGUCAGAAACUGGUCGUGGCCACAAGAUUUCAGAAAUGGAGCCUCUUUCAGAGGCACCGUGUCACACCCACAAGGACCUGACACCCGUUUUAGGGUGUUGAUGAACUGGAAGGAGCCUAGAGCUGCGCCAUUCAUUCCCCUUCCUGCAAUAAAUCGUGCUUUUGGUGGCUCUCCAGCAAAAUAUUUUAAUGCCUUCUCGUUGAACGCUCCAUUUUUUGCCCCCAGUUGUUCCUGCUGACAGCUGAAGGCGCCAACACGGGCUUCACGCGGGAGUUUAAUCGCGCCAGCUGUCACACGGGUCCCCGCCACAAAUAUUUUCCCCCUGUUAAUGGCUUUUUUAUGUGACCAAACGUAAUCUUGUUUAAUAGCAUUUUACGGCCGUGACGCCUUCUUCUUUUCACCAGGCUGGACUUUAUUUUAAGAGGAGAAACGGCUGGUGGGAUGGAGUGGCCCGGGCAUCACAGCGUGCCCGUAGGUGUGCCGGGGCAGGUGAGACCUUUUCCAUUUGCGCACUGUGACGCUCGUUGUUUGUC